GUUCCCCCUAGGACAGCAUUGAGUAAUGCUUUCCCAUGGGGAAAUCCUAAUACAAGCGUGGCUAUUGCUGCACAUGCACAUUAGGUUUCCCCCGCCAGCUAACGUCAGCGGGGGAGGAGCAUGGGUGGAACCUAACCCAGCGCCAAUGUCCCUCGACGCUGGAUUCAGGUGAGUGACUGAAGGGGUUUUAACCUCUUCAGCCGCACGGGAGGCGGGGCGCGAGGGAGGGGGUCACUGUUGGAUUCUACAGUGCCAGGAAAAUGGGUUUGUUUUCCUGGCAGUAUAGAAUCCCUUUAACUGUAACAGUUGAUGCAAAUAAAUCAAGUUAACACAAAUUAGUACAAACAAUGUUAUAAACAAUGAUAGAAGUGGAAAUAUUUGUUUUCAAAAUUACUGGCAGGGUUAUGUGUAGGUAGUAGAUUUAAAAAAAAAAAAAAUGCAUACUUAUUUCACCAUCUCAUCUCUGGGCAGAAUUGGGUCAUACGCACAAGGAUAAACUCUCCAAGUAAAUUAUCUGUAUGGUUGACAUUUUUAGGUUUUACAGUUUAUACAUUAGCCUAAAAAAAAU